rnacentral:rRNA from 2 species
AGCAUAGCGAUUUGGGAUAAGUCCCUUGGAAGGGGACAGCGUCGAGGGUGAUACUCCCGUAUGUUCUUGUAUAGUUGUGCGUACGACACGUUUUCUUUGAGUCGCGUUGUUUGGGAAUGCAGCGCAAAGUAGGUGGUAAAUUCCAUCUAAAGCUAAAUAUUGGUGCGAGACCGAUAGCGAACAAGUACCGUGAGGGAAAGAUGAAAAGAACUUUGAAAAGAGAGUUAAAGAGUACCUGAAACUGCUGAAAGGGAACCGAAUCGUUUCCAGUGUCUAUAAUCCAUAGCAUAUUUCAUUGGCGUGUAAGUGCGUGCAGCGUUUUGGAAGUAGUUUUCUGCUCCUGGCGUUGUUGUGCGUUUGCUUGUUGGUGCCCUGUGUUGUGGUGGGACGUCAGAGUCAGUUCGUAUGCUGCGGGAAAUGGCUGUCAGGAAGGUAGGUCGCUUCGGUGGCUGUUAUAUCCUGGCGUGCUAGUCGUCGUGGUUGAGACUGAGGUGCC